GUAGCGGCGAGCGAACGGGGAGCAGCCCAGAGCCUGAAUCAGUGUGUGUGUUAGUGGAAGCGUCUGGAAAGGCGCGCGAUACAGGGUGACAGCCCCGUACACAAAAAUGCACAUACUGUGAGCUCGAUGAGUAGGGCGGGACACGUGGUAUCCUGUCUGAAUAUGGGGGGACCAUCCUCCAAGGCUAAAUACUCCUGACUGACCGAUAGUGAACCAGUACCGUGAGGGAAAGGCGAAAAGAACCCCGGCGAGGGGAGUGAAAAAGAACCUGAAACCGUGUACGUACAAGCAGUGGGAGCACGCUUAGGCGUGUGACUGCGUACCUUUUGUAUAAUGGGUCAGCGACUUAUAUUCUGUAGCAAGGUUAACCGAAUAGGGGAGCCGAAGGGAAACCGAGUCUUAACUGGGCGUUAAGUUGCAGGGUAUAGACCCGAAACCCGGUGAUCUAGCCAUGGGCAGGUUGAAGGUUGGGUAACACUAACUGGAGGACCGAACCGACUAAUGUUGAAAAAUUAGCGGAUGACUUGUGGCUGGGGGUGAAAGGCCAAUCAAACCGGGAGAUAGCUGGUUCUCCCCGAAAGCUAUUUAGGUAGCGCCUCGUGAAUUCAUCUCCGGGGGUAGAGCACUGUUUCGGCAAGGGGGUCAUCCCGACUUACCAACCCGAUGCAAACUGCGAAUACCGGAGAAUGUUAUCACGGGAGACACACGGCGGGUGCUAACGUCCGUCGUGAAGAGGGAAACAACCCAGACCGCCAGCUAAGGUCCCAAAGUCAUGGUUAAGUGGGAAACGAUGUGGGAAGGCCCAGACAGCCAGGAUGUUGGCUUAGAAGCAGCCAUCAUUUAAAGAAAGCGUAAUAGCUCACUGGUCGAGUCGGCCUGCGCGGAAGAUGUAACGGGGCUAAACCAUGCACCGAAGCUGCGGCAGCGACGCUUAUGCGUUGUUGGGUA
rnacentral:rRNA from 1 species